AGCAAUCGAAGCAGGGAACUUAAGCCCCAGUAAACGGCGGCCGUAACUAUACCGGUCCUAAGGUAGCGAAAUUCCUUGUCGGGUAAGUUCCGACCCGCACGAAAGGCGUAACGAUUUGGGCACUGUCGCAACAACAGACUCGGUGAAAUUGUAAUUCCGGUGAAGAUGCCGGAGACCUGCGACAGGACGGAAAGACCCCAUGGAGCUUUACUGUAGCUUGACAUUGGGUCUUGGUACUACAUGUACAGGAUAGGUGGGAGGCUUUGAAACCAGGACG
rnacentral:rRNA from 1 species